rnacentral:RNase_P_RNA from 1 species
GGGAGGGGGAGGGUGGUUGCGCGGGCGGUGGAAGCCGUCCGUGAGGAAAGUCCGGGCUUCAGAGGGGAGGAUGCCAGCUGAAAAGGCUGGACAGUCAAGGAGUGAUCCUUGGCUGAUGGAGAGGGCCACAGAGACCAGACUGCCUGUUAGGCACAGGUGAAACCGUGGGGUAAAAGCCCACGAGCAGAGGGGGCAACCCCUCUGCUGGUAACCCCCAUCCGAAGCAAGGCAAAAUAGGGGGGAAAGGGGGUGCCCCGCCCCCAUCAACCCCCGGGUAUGCCGCUUAGAUAAAUAACCACCCACGACAGAACCCGGCUUACAUCCCCCUCCC